AUACACAGUAAGAAUUAAACACCUAGAAUUACCGCCAGUCUAGUUAACGAAUGGCCAAAAAUGUAUUAUGUACAGUCACGGUAAAUAAAAGCAGGCUUACGGUAUUUUUGGGUAAUUUUCAUAGAACCAAAAUGGUAUGUGAGGUAGCUGGUGGGAACAUGAAAGUGUAUGUGGAAAUAGUUUAAUGUCAUGGUGGUCAUUUAGUGCCAAUAUCCUUCCCUUCCUUCCUUGUUGUUCCCUUCAUAUACACACAUAGUUAAAACCAUUGUUGAACAGAAAUAUUGUAGAUUGCAUGUUUUCACUGUUACUAACUGCUGUUAAUUUACAUGAGGUAGGAAUGGCUUCUAACCUUCACCUGCAGUCAGGAGGAGCAGAGUCAGAUAAUGUUCAUCAAAGGUAACUAAUGUGACUGUGUUUAUGUUGCUACUGUUUAUGUUAAUGUUUUUUUUCUUUGUUGUAUUUGAGUUUAUACCCCUGUAAAUGAACAACAAAUAUAUGUAGCAACCAUAACUAACACUAGUGUUUUGCAAGGUGAAACUGCCUUCCUUGUAUUUACCCAUCAUGUUUAUAUAUAUAUAUAUAUAUAUAUAUAUAUAUAUAUAUAUAUAUAUACACACACACACACACACACACACACACACACACACACUUUUUUUUAGGUGAAUAUGUAAGCAAAGAUCAGCAGUUAAUAUGAUCAUCAGAAAACACAUGUCUAUGAUGGGUAGUGGGUAGCAGAUGUUGAGUUUGAAUUUUAUUUAUUAAUACACUGUGUAGUUAGGAUUCUGAAUUAAAAGGUAUGGUAUCAGAACUAUAGGCAGUACACCGGGGUCAGGAGAAUGCUGUAGCCACGAAAAAAAAUUGCCUACUACGGAGGCACUUUCAGUGCUACUUUCUGAGCGCUUUUAGUCUUCGAUUUAAAUGAACAACUGCCGCUGAUUCAACCAAUCAGGAGCAGCUCCUAUGCGGCGUGCAAACAGCCGACCAAUCAGCGUUGGUCUGUUGAUGUUGGCUGGCGUGUGACGUCAUUGCAUGCGGCCUGAGGGGAGAGCAGAGCAAUGGAGAAACCAAGUCGGAAAAACGAGUGGAAAUAUGGAGUAAAACCAACGUUUGAGCUGUUGUUUAAAUUUGUUAGUAGAGUGAGAACGCCACUGAAGAAGUCUGGAUGCUAAAAUAAGCUCGGACAAGAGUGAGGCUGGACGCUUAACACCCCUGCAAAGGUCUGUUUGUUCAGAUGCUGCAUCCUGAACAGAGAUACCAGCGCUCACCUUACAGAUAAAUAAGGUGUCACCACAUGGUCCUCGAUCGAGUCCCAAUACAACAAGCAGUUCCUUGAGACAGAGAGACCUCAAGGUGAAUUCAUAGAAACAACUGGAUUCACUAAAGGUGAAGGAGGAGGAGAAGAAGGCAACGGCAGCUGAAGUUCUGAACCUGAAGUGAACAAAAGAAAAUGAGACUUGUUACGCUGUCACUUGGAUAGAAGACCUCCAGCAUCUUGCUGCUAGACUCUUUCCUGUACGCAGUGUUUCUCCUGUUGUUCUAGUGGUGACACUUUGUUUUAGCUCCCACCUAAUAUCAACACGUAAUGUAGCUAGGAGCACAUUUUCCAACUAACACAUCUCUAUUAAACAUGUUUAAGAACAUUUAACUGCUUAUGAUACAAAUAUCUUUUGUAAUUGUAUCAUAAGCAGUUAAAUGUUCUUUAACAUGUUUAAUACAAACAUGUUAGCCUUUAAUAAAAAAUAUGCUCAUAGCUAUGUUAUAUAUUCUGUGGCAGUGUAAAACAAAGUGCCUCUUAGUGAUUAAAUGUCUUGGACAAAAUCACCAAAACUUUGUCUCUCUACUUUUAGACUAAUAACAUAAAAGCAAAAAUGCAAAAUUUUAUAUGCAUCAUUUAAAGAUUGUGCAACUAAAUCAUAAAGUAAUUUAAACUAUGUAAAACUAAUUAACCACCUUCAUUGUAGUGAUGUUUGUCCCAAACAAAAACUA